ACAAGGUUUCCGUAGGCGAACCUGCGGAAGGAUCAUUG
rnacentral:rRNA from 1 species